GUGAGGAAUUUUCCGCAAUGGGCGAAAGCCUGACGGAGCAAUGCCGCGUGAAGGAUGAAGGCCUAUGGGUUGUAAACUUCUUUUCUCAGAAAAGAAUUAUGACGGUAUCUGAGGAAUAAGCAUCGGCUAACUCUGUGCCAGCAGCCGCGGUAAGACAGAGGAUGCAAGCGUUAUCCGGAAUGAUUGGGCGUAAAGCGUCUGGAGGUUGUUUAAAAAGUAUUCUGUCAAAGAUUAGGGCUUAACCCUAGAUAGGUAGAAUAAACUUUUAAGCUAGAGUUUGGUAGAGGCAGAGGGAAUUCCCGGUGGAGCGGUGAAAUGCGUAGAUAUCGGGAGGAACACCAAAGGCGAAGGCACUCUGCUGGGCCAAUACUAACACUGAGAGACGAAAGCGAGGGGAGCAAAUGGGAUUAGAAACCCUUGUAGUCC
rnacentral:rRNA from 1 species